ensembl:snoRNA small nucleolar RNA, H/ACA box 32
UGGUCAUUACCAAGGCUUUUUGAAUACAGUUUCUUAUUUGCUGUGGACAUGACCAUAAAAUAAUUCCCUCUAGGUUUUCUAUCUGCUACUUUGCUAGCAUUCAACCCAUUGGGAACAUUC